UCUUUAUUCUUACUAAAUAGCUGAUUGUGGUAGAUCUAGAUGUAUGCGGGCACAUCUACAUUUUUUAGAAUGUUUACAUUAUGUUUUUUGCUUAAGUUUGCCGGCUGGUUAGCUACAUUGAUCUAGAGGUUGAUAGACGUAGAUCUAUGAGUGGGUAUUACAUACAACCAUGCAUACAUAUUUACGCACUUAUCUUAAAGCGUGUUAUCAGAUGUACAAGGGGCUCCCAUGUUCAGAUAUCACCCCAGGAAAAUAAUAUUUUUUCACUUCUAAGAAAUUAGGUGGAACGUGUUUCUUAGUCAUAAUGUGUCCAUAUUAUUUUUCUUAUUUUUUUCCGGCAUUUUUUUUUAUAAUUCAAUGAUUCUGCUGAAGGUGAUGUAAAAGCCGGUAAAUGUUAGCUUAAUUUUCUUAUGAAUUGAUAUAAUUAAAACCAGAACUAGUUUCAUUUUUACGUGCAUUGAUGCACGCAUGAUUAGAAAUCUUUAUUUUCCACAAAGACCUCGAUUUGCUCAAUUUACUAUCGUAUUGUUGGUCUAGAAUUAGUAGCAGGCGUGCAUGCAUAGAAUCAAGGGGCAGUGAAUGCGGUGACGAUUGUUCUUGUUUUUGUUUACGUUUUUAAGUUGAUUUCGUAAUUUCGAUGGAGGUAUUUCAUUAAUGAAAUGUGUAUAUUUUUUGUCACGGUGCGGUUAGCUCGUGUCACAUGUCGCACGUAGUAGUGGUGUGCAACAUUAUUAGCAAGUGCGAAGAAGUCCACCUAAAAAAGAUCCAAAAGAAGUCGGGAAACCGGAAACUGAUGCUUUAAGUAUACAUGUAAGAAUAUUUAAAUAGGAAUUUGUCUCAUUUGUACUUAGCUCGUAUUGUUUAGGGGGUCAAUUUCUAAAAAACAUAUGAAUAAUAAAUAUGUAUAUAUACUAUUAUUAACUCUA